GAACUAGUACCGUGAGGGAAAGGUGAAAAGAACCCCGGGAGGGGAGUGAAAUAGAACAUGAAAUCAUAAGCUUACAAGCAGUAGGAGGACGACUUAACGUUUGACUACGUUCCUGUUGAAGAAUGAGCCGGCGACUUAUAGGGAAUGGCAUGGUUAAAAUUAUAUUGGAGCCGUAGCGAAAGCGAGUUUGAAUUAGAGCGUUUGUCAUUUUUUAUAGACCCGAACCCGGAUGAUCUAACCAUGGCCAGGUUGAAACUUAGGUAAUACUAAUUGGAGGACCGAACCGACUGAUGUUGAAAAAUCAGCGGAUGAGUUGUGGUUAGGGGUGAAAUGCCAAUCGAAUCCGGAGCUAGCUGGUUCUCCCCGAAAUGUGUUUAGGCGCAGCGGUUAAUUUUGUAUUUUAGGGGUAAAGCACUGUUUCGAUGCGGGCCGGUAAUUCGGUACCAAAUCGAGGCAAACUAAGAAUACUAAAAUAUCUUUUAACCAGUAAGACUGUGGGGGAUAAGCUCCAUUGUCAAGAGGGAAACAGCCCAGACCACCAGCUAAGGCCCCUAAAUAAUUACUAAGUGAUAAAGGAAGUAGAAGUGCUUAGACAACCAGGAGGUUUGCUUAGAAGCAGCAAUCCUUUAAAGAAUGCGUAAUAGCUCACUGGUCGAGUAAAUUUGCGCCGAAAAUGUAUGGGGCUAAGUAAUUUGCCGAAGCUGUGGGAUAUCUAUAUUAUAAAUAUCGGUAGGGGAGCGUUCUGUUAUAGGUUGAAGCAUUAGCGAAAGCGGGUGUGGACGAAACAGAAGUGAGAAUGUCGGCUUGAGUAGCGAAAACAUUGGUGAGAAUCCAAUGCCCCGAAAACCUAAGGUUUCCUUCGGAAGGCUCGUCCGCGGAGGGUAAGUCAGGACCUAAGGCGAGGCUGAGAAGCGUAGUCGAUGGACAACAGGUUAAUAUUCCUGUACUAUUAAUAAUCAAGUAAGGGCAAGGAGUGACGGAGCAGGCUAAGCUAGCCGGAUUCUGGUUACCGGUUUAAACGUUCUAAGUGUUGAUAAAUAGAGAAAAUAUUUUGAGCUGAGACGUGAAUACGUUAUGCUACGGCAUUUAAGUAGUUGAUGUCAUACUUCCAAGAAAAGCUUCCACUGUCGAAUUAUUAAUACCUGUACUGUAAACCGACACAGGUGGGUAAGUAGAGAAUACUAAGGGGCGCGAGAUAACUCUCUCUAAGGAACUCGGCAAAAUAGCCCCGUAACUUUGGGAGAAGGGGUACCUUGAGAAAGGUUGCAAUAAUCAGGUCCAAGCGACUGUUUACCAAAAACACAGGUCUCCGCUAAGUCGUAAGACGAUGUAUGGGGGCUGACGCCUGCCCAGUGCCGGAAGGUUAAAGAAGUCGGUUUUUGCUGAUAACUGAAGCCCCGGUGAACGGCGGCCGUAACUAUAACGGUCCUAAGGUAGCGAAAUUCCUUGUCGGGUAAG
rnacentral:rRNA from 1 species